UACAGAGACUGCAAGCGUUGUUCGGAUUCAUUGGGCGUAAAGGGUCCGUAGGCGGUCGGUUAAGUCGGAUGUGAAAUCUCACAGCCUAACUGUGAGCGGUCAUUCGAAACUAAUCGGCUAGAGGGCUGGAGAGGAGACUGGAAUUGUCGGUGUAGCGGUGAGAUGCGUAGAGAUCGACAAGAACACCGGUGGCGAAGGCGGGUCUCUGGACAGUUCCUGACGCUGAGGGACGAAAGCUAGGGGAGCAAACGGG
rnacentral:rRNA from 1 species